CAGCAGCCGCGGGAAUACGAAGGGUGCAAGCGUUAAUCGGAAUUACUGGGCGUAAAGCGCGCGUAGGUGGUUCAUUAAGUUGGAUGUGAAAGCCCUGGGCUCAACCUGGGAACUGCAUCCAAAACUGGUGAGCUAGAGUACGGUAGAGGGUAGUGGAAUUUCCUGUGUAGCGGUGAAAUGCGUAGAUAUAGGAAGGAACACCAGUGGCGAAGGCGACUACCUGGACUGAUACUGACACUGAGGUGCGAAAGCGUGGGGAGCAAGCAGGAUUAGAUACCCCCGUAGUCCCUGUCUCUUAUAC
rnacentral:rRNA from 1 species